UUUACCUGUAAUGCAGGACAGUUUACAAGAUGAUCAUUAUCAGAAAGAAGGCAAUGCUGAUCAUAACUGCGCACAAAGAAUAUGAGGCGAAUGCUUGAAAUACUGAAUCAAACCAAGAACAUCAAGCAUAUUCAGUAUAGUCUCCCCAAAGAAAAGCUAAGCAGAAGCUAAAGAAGUGGAAAGACGCUGACAAACUAACAAAAUGGAACUUUUGUCAGUGAACAAUAGUCAAGAAAUUGAAGCUAACCACAACAAAGGAAGCUAGCAUGGAGAGAAGUUUAGGACAAGGGAAAUGCUAAGCCGUCUUGAACAUGAAUGAAAGUAUAGACGCUCCUGCUUAUAUAAUUUCUGAAAGGGAUCACUGGUCAAACCUUCCUAAUUAACAUAUAUAUAUAUAUAUAUAUAUAUAUAGAGAGAGAGAGAGAGAGAGAGAGAAUCAUGAUUACCAACCAAGCUGCUAAAUCAGCGACGGACAAAUCCGUUAUAAAAAAAUCAGCAACGACAAAUCUACAUUCAAUUUUUAUCGUUGUUAAUUUCGUUGCUAAAUUAUUUUAGCAACAGAUGUUAGUAUUAUUUGCAACGGAAUCGUCCGUUGCUAAUUCUAUUUUUUAGUAGUUAAGUAUGAA